UCGGGAAUUUUGGGCAAUGGGCGCAAGCCUGAUCCAGCCAUGCCGCGUGAAGGAUGAAGGCGCUCAGCGUUGUAAACUUCUUUUUGGACGGGAACAAUACCCCUGAUGCGUCAGGGCUUGAGGGUACCGUCAGAAUAAGCACCGGCUAACUCCGUGCCAGCAGCCGCGGUAAUACGGAGGUGCAAGCGUUAUCCGGAAUCACUGGGUUUAAAGGGUGCGUAGGCGGUCUUGUAAGUCAGUCGUGAAAUCGCUGGGCUCAACCCAUGCAAUUGCGAUUGAUACUGCGAGACUUGAAUGGGGUUAAGGCAGGCGGAAUGUGGCAUGUAGCGGUGAAAUGCAUAGAUAUGCCAUAGAACACCGAUUGCGAAGGCAGCCUGCUGGGCCUUUAUUGACGCUGAGGCACGAAAGCGUGGGGAGCAAACAGGAUUAGAUACCCCUGUAGUCCCUGAGCGGGCUGGCAAGGCGCAU
rnacentral:rRNA from 1 species